GACGAACGCUGGCGGCGUGCUUAACACAUGCAAGUCGAACGGAAAGACCCUGCUCUUGCGGGGUGCUCGAGUGGCGAACGGGUGUGUAACACGUGGGUAACCUGCCCCUGAAUAUGGGUUAACUUCAGGAAACUGUGGCUAAUACCGGAUAGGAGCUCUUGCUGCUUGGUGGUGGUUGGAGAGUUUCGGCGGUGGGGGAUGGACUCGCGGGUUAUCAGCUUGUUGGUGGGGUAGUGUCUUAGCAAGGCUAUGACGGGUAGCAGGCCUGAGCGGGUGACCGGCCACAUUGGGACGGAGCUACGGCCCAGACUCAUCCGGGAGGCAGCGGUGGGGAAGAUUGCACAAUGGGCGGAAGCAUGAUGCAGCACCGCCGCGUGCGGGAUGACGGCCUUCGGGUUGUGAACCGAUGUCGCCUGUGACGAAGAGUGAGUGACGGUAAUGUGUAAAGAAGCACCGGCUAACUACGUG
rnacentral:rRNA from 1 species